UGCAAACUCAAGUAGGCAGUUAUGUAGCCCCCGCCCAAAUUCGUGAACCCAAAACAAAACCCACAAGAUCUCAUCAACAGUUUUUACCUCACAGCUGACACUUACAAAGGAGUUCCAAGUGCUUCCGCCAACUCCUCCUACCAGCAACUGUGAAAACAACGGCCACAAGGAGUAAUGCUGCUUUUCACACAGAAAGGGGUUCUACUGUGCCUGACCUUAAGACAGGAAAAGUAGGGGAGCUAAGGAAGCUACCUACACCACCCUCACCCCCAGUAGCCAGGCUCAGGAAGGAAGAGGCACAGCGGUGUGAAUGGAUGGAGAAGAGGAGGCCGGUAGGCUGAGCCCCUGGCUCCUGGAACGAACACACAGCCAUGGCAGGUAGGAAAUCUGGGCUCCAACAGUGGCCUUGGGCUGGAGCAGUGAAAGGAUGAAGGUGAGGUGGGGUUGAGGAAUCUGCAAAUCUAGC
rnacentral:lncRNA from 1 species